rnacentral:rRNA from 1 species
UACGUAGGGUGCGAGCGUUAAUCGGAAUUACUGGGCGUAAAGCGUGCGCAGGCGGUGAUGUAAGACCGAUGUGAAAUCCCCCGGGCUUAACCUGGGAACUGCAUCCGAUACUGGAUGGCUUGAAUUCGGGAGAGGGAUGCAGAAUUCCAGGUGUAGCGGUGAAAUGCGUAGAUAUCUGGAGGAACACCAGCGGCGAAGGCGGCGCUCUGGGCCGGAACUGACGCUGAGGAGCGAAAGCGUGGGGAGCGAACAGG